AUAUAUUCCAGAUUAAGUUUUUCCCCUUAGAGUUAAAAAGCAGUGGGAACUGCUUGAUUCUUAUAAGCUAGAGAGUUUUACAUACUUAAAAUAUUGUGUUUCUCCUUAACAACUCUAAAAUAAAAAAAAAACCAUAUAUAUAUAUAAAUUGAAGAGUCUAAAGAGCACAAAUAUAAGGAAAAUGACUCUGCAAAAUAGCACUGUGAGAUUUCUUUUUCUCUCAGAGAUAUAUAUCAGUCUCAAAGGAAAAGUAAAUUACUCUUUAAUAAUUAACCUUGCUGAACACCAAGCUUGAGUUGAAUUAAUCACAUUAAUAUUGUAUAUCUUUCCCAUCAUAGGAAACAAUACUAAAAAAAAAAAAAAUUGAACUUCAGUGUAAUUUUUAGUGUGAUGAUUGCAUGUGUUUGUUAAGUGUCCACCCGCUCUGCUUCUGGGAUGCUCACAGUACUCUCCUCCCCAGCUUCCCAGCACCUCACUGGCUGCUACCCCCUUCUUCAUCCAUUGGGAAAAGAAACGUAGUCCUAAUCAGGUAGCAUCUGUGUUGUGGGGAUCUGUGCCUGUGGGUCCCAAGAAAAGGGGAGAUUGUUAGGAUGUGCCCAUAGCUCUCUGGGAAGCUGGCUGAGAGAGCACUAACUUUUCUGGUCCUGGCAGAAAGCUGCAGAUUGUGAUGAAUAGGGUGGGUAUAUCUGUGAGACCAGGAGCUUAUGGAAAUACACAAAGUGAGACAAACUGAUGGCAAAGAUAUAGCCAUACUUCUGUAGUUGUAGGAAUGCUCAUCUGGCCUUCUACAGUCAAGAAAAACUGGAUACCUCCUGCAGCAUUAAGAUGGUUUAGAAAAUGUUAGACUUCAGCUACCCAAUGGAAAUCACUCAGUCCCACAUCUCUGGUGCUCUCAGCCAUAUGAUAACCAUAGCAUUUUUGUUUCAAAAUUGUGAUAGGGAGGAUGUCUCAUCACUCCAAGCAUAAUGUGGCCUCAUUUCUCCCUUUAAUGGGUCUUCUUUCAGGCCUGGGGAGAAAAAAAAAUGAUGUUUUUUCUAGUUUUUGCCACAUCAGGCUUGGUGUAUCUGGACAUAGGAUGGCUGUUUUAGUAGCUGGAGAAUCUGCACCCUCUGGCAGAGGGAGGACCGAGAUUGCUCAAGGAUCUGGCGUGUGACAGAAAGGUUCCUUGCCACAAUGGUAUGUGAGGAGAAGCUGGUCUGAUUGUUCCAUGUUGUGUGGAGGAAGAAGCAGCUGGGAAGCAGAGCGAGGCUGUGAGCCAGACCAAAGGUGUACAGUGAAUUUGCAGCUGUGCAAACAUCAGCCUGUGUUCAUUAACUUUCAUGAGCACAGAUUGAAGCCAUAUAUACACAAAACCUUUGAUUCUGGGCUUCAGUCCCAGUAGGACUUGAUAGUUUGCAUUUAGUUAGAGCAAGAUUCAGAGCUGGUAUAAGGAGGUGAUCCUUUGUCUUAGACAGGCCAGCUUCUAGAAUCUGAAGAAGCAGGCCAUGCUAAAUAGAAAUUGAAUUAGAUAUUGUGACUUUUUUUUGGUACCUUAUUCUGGCUUUCAGUUUUAAAAGUAGGCUAUUAAUUGUGUGGUAAGAAGCUUUGUGAUUUAUGCAGCAAAGCUGAGUCCAUAUAGACACCAUUUUCCUUUGUACUUGUGCAUGGAAAUCGGUAUGGAUUGUCUUCCAAAGUAUUGCUUUCCCUGGCACUUUCCUGUUGUUACUUGUGUGGAUCCCAUUAAAAAGGCAAACGUGUGUGUAUGUUCACUCACAUGACAGACACGGCCACUGCAGAGGCUCUCUGAAAAUUCACUGAACUUCAGCAAUCUGGUAGCUUCAGCAGAUUUCCUAAGGAGAGACACAUGUAGUCAAGGCCAGGAUCUGUUCCACCUAAAUAAAUAAAUAAAGGUUACAUAUCCCGGAA